GUGCUUGCUUCAGCAGCACAUAUACUAAAAUUGUAACUACAGCAAAGAUUAGCAUGGCCCCCGUGCAAGGACGACAAGCAAAUUCGUGAAGCGUUCCAUAUUAAA